rnacentral:rRNA from 1 species
GACGAACGCUGGCGGCGUGCUUAACACAUGCAAGUCGAACGGCAAGGCCCUGCUUUUGUGGGGUGCUCGAGUGGCGAACGGGUGAGUAACACGUGAGUAUCCUGCCCUUGACUUUGGGAUAACUUCAGGAAACUGGGGCUAAUACCGUAUAGGAGCCCCUGCUGCAUGGUGGGGGUUGGAACGUUGCGGCGGUUGGGGAUGGACUCGCGGCUUAUCAGCUUGUUGGUGGGGUAGUGGCUUACCAAGGCUUUGACGGGUAGCCGGCCUGAGAGGGUGACCGGCGACAUUGGGACUGAGAUACGGCCCAGACUCCUACGGGAGGCAGCAGGGGGGAAUAUUGCACAAUGGGCGGAAGCCGGAUGCAGCAACGCCGCGUGCGGGAUGACGGCCUUCGGGUUGUAAACCGCUUUCGCCUGUGACGAAGCGUGAGUGACGGUAAUGGGUAAAGAAGCACCGGCUAACUACGUG